UUACAUGCAUGACUUUACUAUGCUGCUAGCUGAAAUAGAGUAUUUGAAAAAAAGGGAAAUUGAACUGGAAAAUGAAAGCGUUUGUCUCCGAACCAAGAUUGCAGAAGUAGAGAGGCUUCAGCAGGCGAACAUGGUGACUGGACCUGAGCUUAAUGCCAUUCAAGCUUUAGCUUCUCGCAAUUUCUUAGCCCCAAUGUGAUGGAGC